AUUCUUGCGUUUGGGGAAAUGACGCAGCUAGUGAGGUACUAACCGAUACGCGUCUAUUGCUGGUUGAAAACUAUUUUCAAACCCCUUUUUGGUUUGGGUUCUGUCUAGGUUGUAGAGAAUUUUUGAAAGGGUUCACUGCGGGUAAAAUC
rnacentral:snRNA from 1 species